CUACCCUCAGCCGCAUACCCUCUUAUUCCUUCAACUCUCUCUUUUCCACUCUUCCUAUCUUCUUCUUUCAACCCUCACCCUAUCUCUUAAAUGGCAGCGAUCUCCUCCACGAUGACUCCAAUCUUCUCCGGCGAAGACCCAAACACAACAAGAUACUUGAGAGAGCCACAAAGAGAUCUAAAAGACCUUAAAGCCCGACUCUUUUCACAACAACCCUCGAAACCAAAGACCAACAGUUAAGAAUCGAAGAAUGGCCAAGAAUUCCGACCCCUAGCUUCUAAUUCGGCGAGAAGAAAUGACAACUAAUGGUAAAAAAAUAAACUCUCUUUUCUUUACCGUUUAUUUCGAAUGGCUGAAGAUGAUGUUUUGUUUUUACUGUUUGUUUCUCCUUAUUUUUGCUGUUGAUGGGUUCCUGAUGGUCACCGUCGAAUUUUUGGUUGCUUUCUGUAAAAAAAACUAAGAGGAGAAGACGUAUAGCUUCGUGUAAAAAUAAAGAAGAAACAACCUCUAUUUUUCUGUCUUUUCUGCGAAAAUGGGUGCAGAACCCCCAAUACAUUGCUUUCUAAACAAAAUCCAAUGGGAAGUAGAAGCCCUGUCCUUUUUUCUUUUCGAAUGGAAAGGAUCAGAACCCCUAUCCCUUUUCGGUUACAAUUGCUUCCCCCAUGUUCGAUUUCCCUUAAACUGUUUUUUUAAUCGGGUAGCAGAAACUUCUCUCCCCUGUGUUUUAUUUUUCUCUCGAAUCGUUACCCCCUCUCUAUUUGUUAACUGCCCCCCCAGUUGUUAACUUCUCCUCCUCCUCUGCUCGAAUGAUUCCCUCCUUUUUAGCUUUCAGCCUCCACCGAAUCCUCUGUCGUUGUAUGUUAAUUUUCUGUGUUUUUGUUGAGAUUUGGUUGGAGCAGGUGAAUAUUUAGGCGUAUGCAAUGACGAUUUCUAAAGAUUUGGGUGCGUGCUGCAAGGGUGUGGUAUUUGGGUUUCAAGUUGGGUCAUGAAAUUGGGUUGAUGUUGAGUUUUGUAAUGGGCUUUGAAAUUUAUUUUUGUAUUUGGCCUGC